rnacentral:rRNA from 1 species
UACGAAGGGGGCUAGCGUUGUUCGGAAUUACUGGGCGUAAAGCGCGCGCAGGCGGUCUUCCAAGUCAGUGGUGAAAGCCCGGAGCUCAACUCCGGAACUGCCAUUGAAACUGUAAGACUUGAGGAUGAGAGAGGUGAGUGGAAUCCCAGUGUAGAGGUGAAAUUCGUAGAUAUUGGAAGAACACCGGUGGCGAAGGCGGCUCACUGGCUCAUAUCUGACGCUCAGGCGCGACAG